ACAUGCCUACAACAUAGCAUUAAUGCACCGGAUCCCAUUAGAACUUCGUAGUUAAGUGCACUCAUGCAAGAUUAGUUCUGGGAUGCCUACCACCUGGGAAGUCCUACAAUUUUACAUGCC
rnacentral:rRNA from 1 species